rnacentral:lncRNA from 1 species
GAGGGAGCAGAGGAUUGAUAGCGACAGUUUAUGAUCGCCUCGUCGUGGGCCAUACGGAGCCAGGAAGAAUUUAUCAUGAAGAGUAAUGAGGUGGAGUCGUGGCUAUCACCAUAGCUCGCCACGUGGAAUCAUUUGCAGGGAGUGGAGCGACGUCCGUUGUCGUAACUCGCCAGGGAGUAGUGGAACUACACAGAGUAUCCGUUGCAGGAAGUGGAGAAAAAUUGUG